rnacentral:rRNA from 1 species
AGAGUUUGAUCCUGGCUCAGGACGAACGCUGGCGGCGCGCCUAACACAUGCAAGUCGAACGAGAGAUGAGGAGCUUGCUCUUCAAAUCGAGUGGCGAACGGGUGAGUAACGCGUGAGGAACCUGCCUCAAAGAGGGGGACAACAGUUGGAAACGACUGCUAAUACCGCAUAAGCCCACGGCUCGGCAUCGAGCAGAGGGAAAAGGAGUGAUCCGCUUUGAGAUGGCCUCGCGUCCGAUUAGCUAGUUGGUGAGGUAAUGGCCCACCAAGGCGACGAUCGGUAGCCGGACUGAGAGGUUGAACGGCCACAUUGGGACUGAGACACGGCCCAGACUCCUACGGGAGGCAGCAGUGGGGAAUAUUGCACAAUGGGGGAAACCCUGAUGCAGCGACGCCGCGUGGAGGAAGAAGGUCUUCGGAUUGUAAACUCCUGUUGUUGAGGAAGAUAAUGACGGUACUCAACAAGGAAGUGACGGCUAACUACGUGCCAGCAGCCGCGGUAAAACGUAGGUCACAAGCGUUGUCCGGAAUUACUGGGUGUAAAGGGAGCGCAGGCGGGAGAACAAGUUGGAAGUGAAAUCCAUGGGCUCAACCCAUGAACUGCUUUCAAAACUGUUUUUCUUGAGUAGUGCAGAGGUAGGCGGAAUUCCCGGUGUAGCGGUGGAAUGCGUAGAUAUCGGGAGGAACACCAGUGGCGAAAGCGGCCUACUGGGCACCAACUGACGCUGAGCUCGAAAGUGUGGGUAGCAAACAGGAUUAGAUACCCUGGUAGUCCACACCGUAAACGAUGAUUACUAGGUGUUGGAGGAUUGACCCCUUCAGUGCCGCAGUUAACACAUAAGUAAUCCACCUGGGGAGUACGACCGCAAGGUUGAAACUCAAAGGAAUUGACGGGGGCCCGCACAAGCAGUGGAGUAUGUGGUUUAAUUCGACGCAACGCGAAGAACCUUACCAAGUCUUGACAUCCCUUGACGAUGCUGGAAACAGUAUUUCUCUUCGGAGCAAGGAGACAGGUGGUGCAUGGUUGUCGUCAGCUCGUGUCGUGAGAUGUUGGGUUAAGUCCCGCAACGAGCGCAACCCUUAUGGUCAGUUACUACGCAAGAGGACUCUGGCCAGACUGCCGUUGACAAAACGGAGGAAGGUGGGGAUGACGUCAAAUCAUCAUGCCCUUUAUGACUUGGGCUACACACGUACUACAAUGGCGUUAAACAAAGAGAAGCAAGACCGCGAGGUGGAGCAAAACUCAGAAACAACGUCCCAGUUCGGACUGCAGGCUGCAACCCGCCUGCACGAAGUCGGAAUUGCUAGUAAUCGUGGAUCAGCAUGCCACGGUGAAUACGUUCCCGGGCCUUGCACACACCGCCCGUC